ensembl:lncRNA
CGCGGACCCCGCCCCCUCCCGCCCCGCACGGGCGCCCGGAGAAGCGGACAUUUUAACCUUCUCUGCCAUCCGCUCCCUCUUUCGUGUCCUUCGCCCCCUGUCUGAGUCCUUCCACCUCUCGCCCAUCGGGGUCUGGGGACAUUAACUUGAAGAAAAUCAGCUGUUUGCCAAGAAAGGAGGGCUUGGAUGAAAGAGGAUGAAAGGAAGCUUGUCUCACUUGCAGGAGGAGGAAACGCAGCAAUGCACAAAUAGUCUCUUGUCUAUCAAAGCCAGCUCCAAACAAUCAUCGUAAUGUCCAGACUUGGGGGAGGAGCAGGGGAGCCAGCGCCCGUUUGGUCAGCUCCUGAGUGUGCUGAGCGUAAAGGCUGGACACUCGACGUGGCUUUGCAGAGAGGACAGUUAACCUGACCCAGCCUUCACACGGGACUGCAUCUGCCACAGAUGAUCUAUUUCAGAUCUUGCCACUUUUCAAAUGCCAGCAAGAUUCUACCAUACAGAGUUGUCUAUGAGAAUCUAAAUAAAGAAGGUCAGCAACGGCACCAUUUCACCAGCACCAUCAUCAUCAGUUCUGAUAAAAAAUGUCCCAUAUCCACUACCGACUGCAGUAUAGUCUCCAAGUGGUAGAUUGUGGGUCAUGGACUGGGUCUGGAAGAGGCCUUACUAGAAAACUGAGACUCCAAGAGGCGAGAUGUACACUCAGCUACAGGAGCUGGGAAGGAGCUGCGGGAUCUCCCCAGCACCCCAGGACCCCGGCACAGACCCGGCACAGAGGAGGUCCUCUGUAAACGCUUGUUGCAUGAUCGCGUCUGUUGAUGAAUGAAUGAGUCAAAUCCUGCCCACAGUGCACAUAUAGUUCCAUGCCCUGGACUUCAUCCUAGUCAAUGAAAAUCUAUUAGGAGGGGGUUCAUCUUGUUAAUAUAAUGAACGGAAUAUUUCACAAAACUUUCUAACUAUAGAAAAGUCUGCUUGGGAUCUUUAAUAUAGUGUAGUUGGGUAGUAGGUUUUUAUUAAUACACAAGAGAAAAUAUUAGCUAGGAGAAUCACACACACACACAAACUGAAGAAAGAAAGAAAAGUAUUAGAACUCAUAAUCAAUGUUUAGCACAGUCCAAUAGAAACACCCAGAAGCUGCCUGCCCUGGGAUGGUACAUUCCAUCCACUUAUCAAACAUCUACUAUGUGCCAGGAAAUAAAGAAUGGAUAAUCACAGCCCUGCAGGAACCAGGGAGAGCCAGCACACAUGCCUUUUACCUGGUGUGGCACUUAUGAGCUUACUGGCUCCACUGAGGGGCACCGCUGGUGGCUGCGAGAGAGAGAUUUCAAAACCCCCAGAGACACUAGCUUGCGGGUUGGGACUCAAAGCCAGGUUUCAGGUGCACCAGGCUCUAACUCAGCCCAGAUUGCUUCCCAGAGUCCUCAGGAGAUGGCAUCAAUUUCUCCCCAGGAAUCCAGGUUGGGCAGAGGACAGGUGGCAGGAGGCCUGGGGUGGUAGCAUGCAGGGCAGACUGAUAUCAAGACCACCUGGGGAGACACUUCACACUGUGGCUCUCGGCUGGACGGUCAUAAAGAGAUCCAGUGCUGAGUUGGUGUCAGGUGCUGCAUGACUCACCGAAUCCUGGUAACAGACCUGCGAAGUAGGAGCUGUUAAACCCCUGUGGACAGGUGAUGAAUCCAAGGCUCAGAAAGCUUAAGUAACUUGUCCAAGGUCACACAGGAGGAAGUGCUGGAGCUGAGGUUCUUUCCCAGGCUGGGGACUCCACAGCUCAUGUCUUUUUUUUUUUUUUUUUUUAAUUGAGUUGUGAUUUACAUACAGUAAAAUUGACCAUUUUCAAUGGUGUACAGUUCUGUGAGCAAAUGCAUACAGUUGUAUAACCACCACCCCUAUCAACAUAUAGAACAUGUCUAUCACCCUCGAAAAUUCCUUUGGAUCCCUUUAUAAUUAAUUCCCUCCUUCGCUUCACUCACAGCCCUGGGCAUCUAGUCAUCCAUUUUCUGUCUGUUUUGCCUUUUCCAGAAUGUCAUUUACAAGGAAUCAUAUAGGUUUUUGAGACUGGCUCCUUUCACUUAGCAAAAUACAUUUGAGAUUCAUUCUUCUUCUGUUGCUCCAUACCUCUGUUGUUUGUUCCUUUUUAUUGAUGAGUUCUAUUACAUUUUAUGGACAUGUCAUGCUUUGUUUCCACGUAGUAGUUGAAGGACGUUUGGGUGGUGCCCAACUUGGGGGGAUUCUGAAUAAGGGGGCAUAAACAUCUGUGCACAGGCCUUCAUGUGAACUGAAGUGUUCAUUUCUCUUGGGUGAAUACCUAGGGGUGGGACUGCAUGGCUCAUGCUUCUCACCAGGUCUAUGAUGCUACAGAACUGGAUAUUCAGGACUCGGGAGAUGCUAACAGCCCCUGCUGUUCGAG